UACGAAGGGGGCUAGCGUUGCUCGGAAUUACUGGGCGUAAAGCGUGCGCAGGCGGUUCGCCAAGUCAGGUGUGAAAUCCCCGGGCUUAACCUGGGAAUUGCGCUUGAAACUAGCGGGCUUGAGUGUGGCAGAGGGGGGUGGAAUUCCACGUGUAGCAGUGAAAUGCGUAGAGAUGUGGAGGAACACCGAUGGCGAAGGCAGCCCCCUGGGUCAACACUGACGCUCAUGCACGAAAGCGUGGGGAGCAAACAGG
rnacentral:rRNA from 1 species